UAAAAAAUAGGUCCCAGUUCGGAUCGUAGGCUGCAACCCGCCUGCGUGAAGUUGGAAUUGCUAGUAAUCGCGGAUCAGCAUGCCGCGGUGAAUACGUUCCCGGGCCUUGUACACACCGCCCGUCACACCAUGGAAGUCGGUAAUGCCCGAAGUCAGUAGCCUAACCGCAAGGGGGGCGCUGCCGAAGGCAGGAUUGAUGACUGGGGUGAAGUCGUAACAAGGUACC
rnacentral:rRNA from 1 species